rnacentral:rRNA from 1 species
ACAGCUACACAGCGAUGUGAUGCUAAUCUCCAAACCCAAUGUCUCAGUUCGGAUCGGAGUCUGCAACUCGACUCCGUGAAGCUGGAUUCGCUAGUAAUCGCGCAUCAGCCAUGGCGCGGUGAAUACGUUCCCGGGCCUUGUACACACCGCCCGUCAAGCCAUGGGAGCCGGGGGUACCUGAAGUCCGUAACCGCGAGGAUCGGCCUAGGGUAAAACUGGUGACUGGGGCUAAGUCGUAACAAGGUAGC